AGAAACCCAUGCAAGCCCUGGGAGGCUGUGGGCUGAUGGAUGUCCUGGGCUCGAGUCCCAGCCCUGGCCCUGUUGGGGGCCGAACAAGCCUGGACUGACAGGCUUGGGCUCUCCUCUCUUCACCUGCCAUGACUCCUGCUGCCAGGGACACCAAGGUCCUGGGGCCUCCAGCUCGGCAGGGGGCAGUCAGAUCCCCAACCAGACCCCAACCAACGCCCGCAGGCCUGGCCCUUCCACAAACUUGCCAGCGACCCGGGGACCCUGGACCCCAUGGUGACAGCAGGGCCUGCCUUCCCCACCAGCUGGCUGGGCUGUCCUGCCUGGACCCUGGACCCUGGCUCAGAACGUGGUUGUUGCUGGGCAUCCCUGAGCUGAGAGCACCCUGCCCCACGGGCCUCCGAGGGCACGGGGACCCCAGCAGGGCUGGCCAUUUAUUCCCGCGCUGUGCCUGAAACGUGCAAUUAACACAGGCUGGUUAAUUACCCC
rnacentral:lncRNA from 1 species